GACAGAGGGUGCGAACGUUGUUCGGAAUUACUGGGCGUAAAGCGCGUGUAGGCGGCUAUGCAAGUCGGGUGUGAAAGCCCUGGGCUCAACCGAGGAAGCGCACUCGAAACUGCAUAGCUAGAGUCCCGGAGAGGAUGGUGGAAUUCUGAGUGUAGAGGUGAAAUUCGUAGAUAUUCAGAGGAACACCGGUGGCGAAGGCGGCCAUCUGGACGGGUACUGACGCUGAGACGCGAAAGCGUGGGUAGCAAACAGG
rnacentral:rRNA from 1 species